UCAAGCGCGAGAAGGGCGUUUGGUGAAUGCCUUGGCAGUAAGAGGCGAUGAAAGACGUGAUACUCUGCGAUAAGCCAUGGGGAGCUGAGAAUAAGCUUUGAUCCAUGGAUUUCUGAAUGGGGCAACCCACCUGACAGUUUGUUAUUAUUACUCUUCGGAGUGGUUAAUAACGGAUUGAACCAGGUACUUUUAGACUGAAUACAUAGGUUUAAAAGAGCAAACCCGGGGAACUGAAACAUCUAAGUACCCGGAGGAAAGGAAAUCAAUAUGAUACUCCCCUAGUAGCGGCGAGCGAACGGGGACCAGCCGAGCCGUAAUUGUGAAUAGAAUAACCUGGAAAGGUUAACCAUAGUGGGUGACAGUCCCGUAUAUGAAGCAUGAUCGGACGUAUUAAGUAGGGCGGAACACGUGAAAUUCUGUCUGAAGAUCGGAGGACCACCUUCGAAGGCUAAGUACUCCUUACUGACCGAUAGUGAACCAGUACCGUGAGGGAAAGGUGAAAAGCACCCCGACGAGGGGAGUGAAACAGCUCCUGAAACCGAACGCCUACAAACAGUUGGAGGGACCUUGAGUCCUGACAGCGUACCUUUUGUAUAAUGGGUCAUCGACUUGGUCUAUCUAGCAAGCUUAAGCCGUUAGGUGUAGGCGCAGCGAAAGCGAGUCUUAAUAGGGCGAAUGAGUUAGGUGGAUCAGACCCGAAACCGAGUGAUCUAGGCAUGACCAGGUUGAAGGUGCAGUAACAUGCACUGGAGGACCGAACCCACAUCUGUUGAAAAAGAUCGGGAUGAGUUGUGCCUAGGGGUGAAAGGCCAAUCAAACUCGGAGAUAGCUGGUUCUCUGCGAAAUCUAUUUAGGUAGAGCGUCAUCCGAAUACCCCGGGGGGUAGAGCACUGGAUGGGUAAUGGGGCCUCACCGGCUUACUGAUCCUAACCAAACUCCGAAUACCCGGGAGUACUAGAUGGCAGACACACAGCGAAUGCUAACGUCCGUUGUGGAGAGGGAAACAACCCUGACCUACAGCUAAGGCCCCCAAUUCAUGGCUAAGUGGGAAAGCAGGUGGGACGACCAAAACAACCAGGAGGUUGGCUUAGAAGCAGCCAUCCUUUAAAGAAAGCGUAACAGCUCACUGGUCUAAUUAAGUUGUCCUGCGGCGAAGAUGUAACGGGGCUCAAGCCAUGAGCCGAAGCUUAGGAUGCAAUUUAUUGCAUGGUAGCAGAGCGUAGUGUGACAUAGUUCCACGUCUCCUUAACCACUUCGGUGGCAUUGGAGACAUGGAGCUUUCUGUGAAGCCGGCGCGUGAGCGAUCCGGUGGAGAGAUCACUAGUGAGAAUGAUGACAUGAGUAGCGACAAAGAGUGUGAGAGACACUCUCGCCGAAAGUCCAAGGGUUCCUGCUUAAAGCUAAUCUGAGCAGGGUAAGCCGACCCCUAAGGCGAGGCCGAAAGGCGUAGUCGAUGGGAACCAGGUUAAUAUUCCUGGGCCAGAUGGAAGUGACGGAUCUCGAGGGUAGUUCAUCCUUAUCGGAUUGAAUGGGCUGCUUAGAGGUUCCUGGAAAUAGCUCCAUCGCUAGAUCGUACCCUAAACCGACACAGGUGGACUGGUAGAGAAUACCAAGGCGCUUGAGAGAACUAUGUUGAAGGAACUCGGCAAAAUACCUCCGUAAGUUCGCGAGAAGGAGGCCCGGUUUCUACGCAAGUGGAAGCUGGGGGCACAAACCAGGGGGUGGCGACUGUUUAUUAAAAACACAGGGCUCUGCGAAGUCGUAAGACGACGUAUAGGGUCUGACGCCUGCCCGGUGCCUGAAGGUUAAAAGGAGGGGUGAGAGCUCUGAAUUGAAGCCCAGGUAAACGGCGGCCGUAACUAUAACGGUCCUAAGGUAGCGAAAUUCCUUGUCGGGUAAGUUCCGACCUGCACGAAUGGCGUAACGACUUCCCCGCUGUCUCCAACAUAGACUCA
rnacentral:rRNA from 2 species